UACAGAGGUCUCAAGCGUUGUUCGGAUUCAUUGGGCGUAAAGGGUGCGUAGGCGGCGCGGUAAGUCGGGUGUGAAAUCUCGGGGCUUAACUCCGAAACUGCAUUCGAUACUGCCGUGCUUGAGGACUGGAGAGGAGACUGGAAUUUACGGUGUAGCGGUGAAAUGCGUAGAUAUCGUAAGGAAGACCAGUGGCGAAGGCGGGUCUCUGGACAGUUCCUGACGCUGAGGCACGAAGGCCGGGGGAGCAAACGGG
rnacentral:rRNA from 1 species